UUGCCUACGGGAGGCAGCAGUGAGGAAUAUUGGUCAAUGGGCGCGAGCCUGAACCAGCCAAGUCGCGUGAGGGAAGACGGUCCUAUGGAUUGUAAACCUCUUUUGUCGGGGAGCAAAAGACGCCACGCGUGGCGUUCCGAGAGUACCCGAAGAAAAAGCAUCGGCUAACUCCGUGCCAGCAGCCGCGGUAAUACGGAGGAUGCGAGCGUUAUCCGGAUUUAUUGGGUUUAAAGGGAGCGUAGACGGAGGAGCAAGUCUGAUGUGAAAAUCCGGGGCCCAACCCCGGAACUGCAUUGGAAACUGUU
rnacentral:rRNA from 1 species